rnacentral:tRNA from 1 species
UGGGUAAAAGCUUCUUAGCAGCUGACUGUUAAUCAGCAAACAGCGAAACUUUCGCUUACCCA